GAUGAACGCUGGCGGCGUGCCUAAUACAUGCAAGUAGAACGCUGAAGGAGGAGCUUGCUCUUCUGGAUGAGUUGCGAACGGGUGAGUAACGCGUAGGUAACCUGCCUGGUAGCGGGGGAUAACUAUUGGAAACGAUAGCUAAUACCGCAUGACAACAGUUAUUGCAUGAUAACUGUUUAAAAGGGGCAACUGCUCCACUACCAGAUGGACCUGCGUUGUAUUGGCUAGUUGGUGAGGUAACGGCUCACCAAGGCGACGAUACAUAGCCGACCUGAGAGGGUGAUCGGCCACACUGGGACUGAGACACGGCCCAGACUCCUACGGGAGGCAGCAGUAGGGAAUCUUCGGCAAUGGACGGAAGUCUGACCGAGCAACGCCGCGUGGGUGAAGAAGGUUUUCGGAUCGUAAAGCUCUGUUGUAAGAGAAGAACGAGUGUGAGAGUGGAAAGUUCACACUGUGACGGUAUCUUACCAGAAAGGGACGGCUAACUACGUG
rnacentral:rRNA from 1 species